GGUGGGUUGGCUCGGUAGUUAGAGCAUGGCCUCGUAACCGAAAGGUCGCGGGAUCGAAUCCCGCUAGAGGCUG
rnacentral:tRNA from 1 species